AGCGAACGCUGGCGGCAGGCCUAACACAUGCAAGUCGAACGAAGUCUUCGGACUUAGUGGCGGACGGGUGAGUAACACGUGGGAACGUACCUUUUGGUUCGGAACAACUCAGGGAAACUUGAGCUAAUACCGGAUGAGCCCUUAGGGGGAAAGAUUUAUCGCCGAAAGAGCGGCCCGCGUUAGAUUAGCUAGUUGGUGAGGUAAAGGCUCACCAAGGCUACGAUCUAUAGCUGGUCUGAGAGGAUGAUCAGCCACACUGGGACUGAGACACGGCCCAGACUCCUACGGGAGGCAGCAGUGGGGAAUCUUGCGCAAUGGGCGAAAGCCUGGCGCAGCCAUGCCGCGUGAAUGAUGAAGGCCUUAGGAUUGUAAAAUUCUUUACCAGGGACGAUAAUGACGGUACCUGGAGAAAAAGCCCCGGCUAACUUCGUGCCAGCCGCCGCGGUAAGAC
rnacentral:rRNA from 1 species